rnacentral:rRNA from 1 species
GGGGAAUUUUGCGCAAUGGGCGAAAGCCUGACGCAGCAACGCCGCGUGCGGGAUGAAGGCCUUCGGGUCGUAAACCGCUUUCAGCAGGGACGAAAAUGACGGUACCUGCAGAAGAAGCCCCGGCUAAAUACGUGCCAGCAGCCGCGGUAAUACGUAUGGGGCAAGCGUUAUCCGGAUUCAUUGGGCGUAAAGAGCGCGUAGGCGGAUUGUUAAGCGAGAUGUGAAAACCGGGGGCUCAACCCGCGGCCUGCAUCUCGAACUGGCAGUCUUGAGUCUGGUAGAGGAAAGUGGAAUUCCCAGUGUAGCGGUGAAAUGCGCAGAUAUUGGGAGGAACACCAGUGGCGAAGGCGGCUUUCUGGGCCACGACUGACGCUGAGGCGCGAAAGCUAGGGGAGCAAACAG